GUGUCCAGGGAUUCAGUGCCUGGCACCCAGAAACUUAUGGCACAGCGGAGUCUGGCACCCACAAACUCAUAGCAUUUCAUUUCCUUGCAGCCUAAGGAAAACUGUUUAUUAGCAGAACACACUGGACAGAAACUGAAAGAAAUGGGGAUGAGGAGGUCUAAGGGUGAAGCCCUGCUCCUGUCCAUCAUAAUACUGGAUAGAUUACUACAGGGUGUUGAGAGGGGUUAUUUUUAACUCUUAAGUGAGAAACAGCAGCCGUCAUCUAGGCCAGAAGUGUUGUCCCUUGGUGAUCCCUCCAUGUUGAAAAGUGUGUGUGUGUUUGCAAGGUGUUUCUUGUCCUGUCCAGAAAUGCACCGUGCUGGAUGAAGCCAGCUCUAGAUCUUUUCUAAAUAAAUUGAAUAAAACCACUUAACCCACUGAAAGAUAUAUUUGAGAAAUAAAUAUUAAGGGGAACAAUGCCCAUUGUUAAGCAAGGUAGCUAAAGUAACCGUGUCAUGUCCUCCAUUGUGACACGUUCCCCUGCUGAGAACUUUGGGUAGAGCAACUAUUUGAGGUUAUUGAGUGAGAAACAAGUUGGUUUGGGUGAAUUGUGUUUGCUGAAAAAAAAUUAAGAUUUCUUCAUCACGCUUUUAAGUAGGAUCUCUUAUUCUUUCCACAGUCUGUUUCUUUUACUAUUCCUUAAGAUUUGGAAACAUAGGGAACCAGGUCAUGGUUAGAAUUAUUUUUAAAGAUUGUCCUCAGGGCCCCCGUAGAUGCUUUGAGGGAAAUGGCUUGCAGUGCAGAGAUAGAGAGUAUCGAGGAAAUAACUAGAAUCCAUUUCGUGACCUUCUUUUUUUUCCUCCCUAGAUGUUCCGGUCUGUGCAGGAUUCGAGAGCUGCUGGCCUCCUGUUGCCGCUCCAUCAAAAUCCAUCCCUUGGACUGUAUGAGGGAAGAAAGUGUAAUCGUGGAAGGAAGGAGAAUUAAAGUGAGAACCAUCUAUGUGAGACCGAAGGACCAGGCGAUGGAUGCCACCAGUGCUUCCACCAGUGGUGAGUGUUGACCUUUGUUCAUGAAAAACAGGGAGGCCAGAGAGAAUCUGGCUGGCUGGGGGGUGGGGGGUGGGAGGCAGCUCCCUGAUUUAAGAAGAGUGUAGGGAUUGGAUGAGGAAGGGAGAAUAAUGUGGGCCACUUGGAGAUCCUUGCAGUAAUAAUAAAUGAAAAUUUUAGGAAUCUUUUCUGUUCUUUUCUCUUCCAGGCAACAGCAACAGUGAGGCCAGCAGCUCAAGCUGAGCUCCCCCACCAAGGUCCAGUUCCCCCUUCCCCAAUUAAAUAUUUUUUCUUCUAUUCUAAUAAAGGUUGUAUUACAAAUAUGCUAGUCUUUUGUCAUGUUAAUGGAAAGAAGAGGAAGAAGUCCCAGCAAAAGAAGAAUGGAUACAAAAACUUAUGGAAUAUGCAGAAAUGGCAAAUCUUAC